UACGGAAGGUCCGGGCGUUAUCCGGAUUUAUUGGGUUUAAAGGGAGCGCAGGCCGCCCCUUAAGCGUGUUGUGAAAUGCCGCGGCUCAACCGUGGCACUGCAGCGCGAACUGGGGGGCUUGAGUGCGCCGGAGGUAGGCGGAAUUCGUGGUGUAGCGGUGAAAUGCUUAGAUAUCACGAAGAACUCCGAUUGCGAAGGCAGCCUACCGUAGCGUUACUGACGCUGAGGCUCGAAGGUGCGGGUAUCGAACAGG
rnacentral:ncRNA from 2 species